GCACUGGAAUGGGUGUUUCAGGCCUUACAGUAUUAAGCUAUCUAAAGUUCUUAUUUUACACAAGUAAUAACUAAAACAUUAUUGUUAUAUGAACAAAUAAGAAACAGCAUUAUUGCAUUAACCCAAUCAUCCUUUCCUAUAUAAAAUGUGGUGAUGAUGAUAUUAACCUAGAAUCUCACAUAUGUAUGUUAUAUUAUAAAUGACAUGCAGUUGAAUGCAUAUUCAGAAUGUGUGUAAUGUGAAAGUGUGUUAUGUAAUUGAUGGUAUAUAUAUAUGUUUUUAAGUGACAUGGGAGAGAGAUAUUAGAAUGUAUGGUUGUCUAUCAAGUGUUUGAUUGGCAUGGGAGAGAGAUAUUAGAAUGUAUGAUUGUCUAUCCAGUGUUUGAUUGGCUAAACUUACUGCUCAUUCUUUAAAACUUUGCUUGUUGUUGUGGCAACAUGCACGCUACAAUCAUUUGCUAAGGUAACUGGUUAUUUGGUUGUUAGGUGUUAUUGACCUAUUUUAUGGCCUCUAUGGUCAAUUAAAUAAUUUUUCUUUUCAGGACUAACAAUUUAUUUUAGGAAUUUAACAAUUUUCAGAGAACUAACUUUUAAUUUUUUCAGUUUAUUAAUCAUAAAUUUAUUUUCUUACAAAGCAAUUCCAAAUUAUUUAUUUUGUCCUAGAAUUAUGACAGAAAUAUCUAAAAAAAAAUUUGGAAUUGUUUGGUGAAAUUAGAAUUACUUGCCCUGGGAUAGUUUGGUUGUUGAGGCUGUUUCUACCAUUGGGGAUUGAAGGAUGAAUUAAGCUUUAGAAAGCUCCUACAGGUCACUCAGUGCCCUACACUCUUCACUCUGAAGGAGAUGACAAGUAUACCAUUGAGUACAUCCCCACAGAAGUUGGAGAAUACCACAUAAAGAUGGUUCGUGAAGGGCAAACUGUUGAUGGCAACCCAUAUGAAGUUGAUGUCUGGGAUGCAACCAAAGUUGACGUUAAGAAUAUCCCAAGCAAUGGAACUGUUGGGAAACCUGUACAGUUUGAUAUUGAUGUCUCAAAGGCAGGGAGUGGGAAUCUAGAGAUAGUGGUCAAUGAUGGACAGGUCCCCUGUAACGUACAGCGUACAGGAAGGCGUACAUUUGCAGCUACAUUCAUCCCUCAUGUCCCAGGGAAACAUAGCAUGUUAAUGACCUUCAACAAGGAAGCUGUACCAGGAAGUCCUUGGAAUUUUAUGAUAGCAGAUGCCCCUCCCCCUCUACAAGUUGAUGUGGUAGACCGCGGGACAGACUUGAUACCAGUAAACAGAGAGGCAUGGUUCAUGGUUAGCGUCAUUGGGGGACAGAAGACUAACAUACAUGCACGCAUAUUAUCACCCACCAAGAAAACACUAAAGACCACACUAACAGAGGAAGGUCCUGGAACAUAUAGAGUGGAAUACACUCCUAUUGAUGUUGGUGCUCACACAGUUGAAGUAGAGUAUCUAGGAAAACCUGUCUCUGGAUGCCCAUUCAGGGUACGCACCUAUGACCCUAGUGCCAUAAAGGUCAGCAAGAUCAACCCAGGACUUGUUGGUCGACCAAUCAUAUUUACAGUUGAUGUGAAAGCAGCUGGAGAGGGCCAGCUAGAGAUCAUGAUAAACAAUGGAACAGUGCCCAACAAUGUUGAACCACUGGGGAAUGGAGCCUACCAAGUCACAUUUGUGCCAACUGAGGCUAAAGUCUACUCUGUAGAUAUCAAAUUUAAUGACUAUUCUCUACCAAAUGCUCCAUAUUCUGUUAACAUCAGUGAUGCAAGUAAUGUUAAUGCAUCAGGAGAGGGUCUUGAGCUGGUUCCUGUCAACAGAGUCACAUCAUUCAAUGUCACAGGGGCAACCAUGUCAGAUGUUGAGGUCACUGUGACAUCUCCAAGUCACCGCACUAUAAACAGCCAGAUCCGACGUACAAAAGGAGCAUACCAAGUUGAGUACAAACCUCCAGAGGUGGGAACAUACAAUAUUGAAGUUGUCUAUGCAGGCAUGUCAAUCAACAACAGCCCAUUCACGUCAAAGGCAUAUGAUGCUGGAGCUGUUGUCAUCAGUGACAUACCCAUAGGCAUUGUUGGAAAGCUAGUCUACUUCACAGUUGAUGUCCAGCAAGCAGGAGAGGGCCAGGUUGAGAUAGCUGUUAACAACGGCACUGUUAAAAAUACAGUAGAAAGACAAUCUAAGGGUGUAUACAGGGUAGGAUUCCUUCCAACCACUGCUGAGCAACACUCAGUACUGGUGAAAUUCAAUGGAGAGAAUGUACCAGGGAGUCCAUGUAAAGUUCAAAUAAUAGAUGCCUCACAGAUCUAUGCCGAAGGGCGUGGUUUACAAGGGGUCCCCAUUAACAGUAUGACUGAGUUCAAUGUAUACACAUCAGGGCUGCCUCGUGCUGAAAUGUUGGCUACGAUCACAGCCCCAAGUGGUAGAGAGGUUCCCAACCAGAUGAACCCACAUGGAGCAAACCAAUACAAAGUGGAAUAUAAACCUACUGAAGUUGGUCCACAUAACAUAGAGGUGACUUAUGCUGACCUACAGAUCAGUGGCAGUCCUUUUACCAGCCGUGCUUAUGACCGCCGUGCCAUAACAGUAGACAGUCCAACAACAGGAAUUGUGGGAAAAGCUGUUAAGUUUGUUGUAAAUGUGACAACAGCGGGUGAGGGAAAGUUGGAGAUAAUGGUAAACAAUGGAGCUGUUCCUAACAGUGUUCGAAUGAUGAGUCGUGGCAUAUUUGAGAUGACGUUUGUACCAUCAGAAGCUAGGGACCACAGUGUUGGCAUUACAUUCAAUGAGGAACCUGUACCAGGGAGUUCAUUCACUGUUGCUGUUGUUGAUGCCAGUAGAGUAAAAGCAAGUGGGCAUGGCUUGGGCUUGAUACCUAUAGACAGACCAACCUGGUUUGAGAUCAACUCCCAUGGAAUAGGGCAGCAUGAAGCAACAGUCAAGAUAACAUCACCCAGCUACAAGGUAGUUCCAAACAGUGUUAUCAACAACAUGGAUGGUACCUACAAUGUGGAGUAUGUCCCUAAGGAGGUUGGAUUGCAUAACAUUGAGGUUCAGUACGCAGAGCUAGCAAUUCCCGGGAGUCCAUUUAGUAGCAAAGCUUAUGAUGCAAGUGCUGUCAAGGUCAGCAGCAUACCAGAUGGAAUUGUGGGUAAACCUGAUAUGUUCACAGUUGACAUCAGAGCAGCAGGAGAAGGAGACAUGGAGGUUUUGGUUGACAAUGGGCAAGUCCCAGUCAAUAUGAAGCAGCAGAGUAGGGGACUAUACCAGGUGUCAUUUGUACCCUUAGACACACACAGACACAAUGUUGACAUUACAUUUAAUAGGGACCAAGUUCCAGGUAGCCCAUGGUCAAUUAAGGUGGUUGAUGCCAGUAGAGUUACAGCACGUGGAUCUGGUCUUAAUUUGGUCCCUGUCAAUGCUAUGGCCUCCUUCGAGAUUGAUACCCACAAUAGUGGCAAUGAAGAGGUCAAGGUCAAGGUUAUGGGGCCAGGAUUAAAACCAGUUCCAGCUUCUGUAAUUUCUAACUCUGAUGGAACAUACCGAGUGGACUACACACCCAAGAUUGUUGGCCCCCAUGUCAUUGAGGUGACGUAUGCUGACCUGCCUAUCCCACAAUCCCCCUUCACUAGCAAGGCCUAUGACAUUUAUGCCAUAAUAGUUCGAGACAUCCCAAAUGGUAUUGUUGGAAAACCUAUUGCAUUCAUGGUUGAUGUGACAGCAGCAGGUGAGGGCCAGCUAGAGAUAAUGGUGAACCAGGGAAGUGUACCAAUAGAGGUCUCUAAGAGGAGCACAGGGGUAUUCCAAGUACAGUUUGUACCACAGGAGGCUAAAACACACUUUGUUGAUAUGAAGUUCAAUGGCAUAUUACUCCCAGCGAGCCCAUGGAAUGUAAAUGUCACAGAUGCCACCAAAGUUGUUGCAACAGGAAGUGGCCUGGAGAUCAUACCUAUUAAGAAAGUUGCAACAUUUGAUAUUGAUGCAAGGAAGGCUGGAAAAGCUGAACUACAAAUUAAAGUUAUGUCACCUGCACGUAAAGCUAUCCCUAUACAAGUCAUGGACAACCACAAUGGAACAUACAGAGUAGAGUAUAUCCCUUCAAUUGUAGGAGCAUAUGUUAUCAACAUCACUCAUGCAGAUCAAGUAAUAGCUGGUAGCCCAUUCCGUAGCAGUGCCUAUGACAUAAAUGCCAUCAUGGUUAGCAGGAUGCCGCGUGGAAUCAUUGGCAAACCUGUAGAGUUUACUGUUGAUGUGACAAAUGCGGGAGAGGGUCAAUUAGAAACACUCAUCAACCAAGGAACUGUGGAGCAUAACAUACGCCUCAAAAGCAAGGGAAUCUUCCUUAUCUCAUUCAUUCCAACAGUUGCCAGGCCACAUACAGUGGACAUUAAGUACAAUGAGGAACUUGUUCCAGGGAGCACACGGAUUGUUGAAGUUACAGAUGCAAGUGCAGUUACUGUCAAGGGGGCAGGUUUAGACCUAGUGCCAAUCAACAAACUGACAUGGUUUGAGGUGACUACAAAUAAUGCUGGCGCUGGUAUCGUUGCAGUGAAAAUAUCAUCUCCCACCAGACUUCCUGUCCAGAAUGAGAUAGUAGACAUCAAAGAUGGAACUUACAAAGUAGAGUAUAUUCCUAAUGAAGUUGGAACUUACAGUUAUGAGGUGACAUACGCAGAUCUUCUUGUACCAGGGAACCCAUUCACAUGUAAAGUUUACGACACAAGUGCUAUCAGAGUUAGCCCUAUACCAGAUGGUAUCCUUGCUAUGCCUGUAGCAUUUACAGUUGAUGUAUCUGAGGCUGGGGAAGGACAACUUGAGAUCAUGGUACAAAAUGGUGAUGUCCCAAAUGUCGUUAAACUUCAAAGUCGUGGUGUCUUUCUGGUGACAUUCAUUCCUGAGACCACAGAUAUACACAUCAUUGACAUCAUAUUCAACGGAGAGGUUGUACUUGGAUCCCCAUUCCAAUGCAGAGUAAUUGACACAAGUAAUGUGCUGGUAAAUACUGAGGAAGUUCGCAUUGCCCCUGUUAACAUGCUGUGUAGAUUUGAAAUUGACCCCAGAGGUACCCCAGCUGCAGAAGUCAUUGUUACAGUUACUGAUCCAACAGGUGACAAUCUGGAUACAGUUGUUGGAAUACGGGGUGACAUCUAUAUUGGAGAAUUCACACCAAAGGUUGUUGGUGGCCAUGUUGUUGCAGUGACAUAUGGAGGUGCAAAUGUGAUUGGUUCUCCUUUUACCUGCCAGGUGUUUGAUGUCACCAAGGUCAAGGUCAUAAAUGUUGAUUUCACUGGCUUCUUAAAAAAAGAUAUGCACUUUACAGUUGAUGCAUCAGAAGCAGGAUAUGGAGACAUUGAUGCAGAAGUGACAAGCCCUAUGGGUAAUCUUGUUCGUUCCUCUCGGGACAGUAUUGGAAACAACAAACAUUUAUUCAGCUACAACCCCAAUGAGCCAGGCGAUCACUCUAUUGAUGUCACUUUCAACUACUUGAAGGUCCCAGCAUGCCCCAUACCAACACGUGUAUUAGAUGGCUCAUUGGUGUUCGCCACAGGAGAGGGACUAGAACUCUUCCCAGUGGGCAAAGAUGUCAACUUCUUGGUUGAUGCUACUAGUUUUGGCCCAGCGCAGCUUGAUAUACGCAUCUCGGCGCCAUCUGGUAAAGAAGUCCCAAACCAGAUCAUCAACAAUGGAGACAAUACAUUUGAAGUUGAAUACCAAUGUAAUGAAGUAGGAGUCCAUAGAAUAGAUGCCCAAUAUGCUCGCAUGGCGAUACAGGCAAGUCCCUUCUCAGUGAGAGCCUAUGAUGCACGCAAAGUACGGGUGUUUGAUUUCACCACACCCAGCCUGCUAAUGGAACAGAGCACAUUCAUUGUUGAUGCCUCUGAGGCUGGAGAGGGCAAUCUGGAGAUCAAAGUCAGGUCAGGUGACCAGCUAGUGCCCCAUGAGGUAGAGAAGAUAAGUAAUGCACAGAGCCAGUACAAGGUCAGCUUUGUACCAAAGGAGGUGAAGACACACUAUGCUGAUGUCAGCUAUAACACUGACCUUGUUCCAGGAAGUGCUUUCCCUAUAGAGGUACAGGACCCCAUCAUCAUCAUGGCCUCAGGAGCAGGCCUUGGGCUAGUUGCUUGCAACAAGGUUGCCUCAUUUAUUGUAAGUGCUGUUGGAGCAAGAACUGGAGAUGUUGAUGUUGGAAUCACUUCCCCUAGUGGCAACCAGGUACAAGUACGUCUGAAGGACAAUGGAGAUGGGUCAUACACUAUAGAGUGGGUCCCUACAAUGGUUGGGGACCAUCGUAUAGUAGUAAUGUACAGAGGAAUGCAGAUAGACAGUGGUGUUUUCACUGCAAGAGCAUAUGACCCAAAUAAGGUGACAGUGUCAAAUCUUGGACAUGGAAAGAUUGGGAAACCUGCAUAUUUCAACAUUGAUGCAAGUAAGGCAGGGGCUGGUAACCUAGAGAUUAUUGUAUCAGUGAAUGGUGAGAAUGUCCCCAACUUUGUCCAAGCAGAGGGCAAUGCACGAUUCCAAGUGUCAUUCACUCCCCAGAUGGCAGAUACUCACAUGAUCAGUGUCAAGUUCAAUAAUGAACAAGUACAAGGAAGUCCAUUUGCUUGCAAUGUUGUUGAUGGACACAGGUGUAUAGCAAGUGGAGAUGGGAUACGUCUUACCUCUGUCAAUAAACUGGCAACAUUCACAGUUGACCCACAGGGUGCAGGCAAAGCUGACUUGGUUGCAGAGGUCACAUCCCCAAAUGGCUACAAAGUUCCAGUGCAAAUCUCUGGCAACAGUAGUUCCUCCUUCAGGGCAGAAUACACACCAACAGAGGUUGGGCAACAUAAAGUCUCUGUCAAGUAUGCUGAAGUUGACAUUAGUGGAAGCCCUUUCUACCCUUAUGUCUAUGACGUCAAUCAGGUCAACGUCAGCAAGAUGAGUCGUGGCUUUGCUGGUCAGCCAGUCACCAUUGAAGUUGAGACAAGCAAGGCAGGCGAGGGUACGCUACGUUCAGAGGUUCUGUGUAAGGGUACACUGGUGCACAGUUAUAUACAGAACACAGGGCCAGGGAAAUAUGAAGUGACCUUCACCCCAAAAGAGAAUGAGGCUCACAUAGUCAACUUGACAUUCAACGACCAACACAUAAAGGGCUCUCCAUUCAAAAUCGACAUAAUUGAUACCAGUAAAGUUGCUGUAUCAGGUGAUGGAAUUAGAAUGGCAUCAGUCAACAAAGAGAUCAGCUUUGAAAUUGACCCUCAUGGCACCCCUGAGGCUGAAAUAGAUGUGAAAGUAACAAGUCCCACUGGACGACUUGUUCCAUGUCGUGUUAAUCGUCGUGGCAACCUCUAUGUUGUCAGCUUCCUCCCUACAGAGGUUGGAGGUCAUGUGAUCAGUGUCACAUAUGCUACAGUUAACAUCCAUGGCAGUCCUUUCACAUGCCAGGUCUAUGACACAUCUAAGGUCAGCAUUGUUGAUGUAGACCAGCAGGGAGACAUAGGGCGUGAAAUGGGAUUCACAGUUGAUGCCUCUCAAUCAGGUCAAGGUGACAUUGACGUAGAAGUGAUCACUCCCACAGGUAACCUGUGCCGCACCCAGCGUACACAGCUUGGGAAUAACAGACACAGGUUCACAUAUACACCUAAGGAACCAGGCAACUACAAUAUAGAGGUGAUGUUCAAUUAUGAGAAACUAGCAGGAACUCCUCUCAGGGUGUAUGUAGCAGGGCAACUAGAGGAGACUUACAGUCAACAGAGGGUUGUCAGAGAAACAUACGUCACACAAGCUGUAAGUCAAGUUGACCCAGGCAGCAUCACAAUUGCCAAUAGGAGCUUACGUAAUGCCUCUGUGGAUCGUCUUUGCUGGUUUGUUAUUGAGAUGCAUGGCCUCCAAGCUGCCCCUGAAGACCUCCAGGUCAUUGUAAGAGCACCUAAUGGGGAAGUUGUUCCCGCGAAGAUAGUCCGCCAGCACGAUGGAGACUACAAGGUUGAAUACUCCUCCCAGUAUGUUGGACGUCACAUCGUUGAUAUCCUGUAUGGUGGCAAUAAUAUUAGUGGGAGUCCAUUCUAUGUGGACAUUUAUGACCCUAACCGAAUCACAGUAGAGGGCAUUGAGGAUUCAACUGUAGGAGAGGAGACAGGAUUUGACAUUCAUCAUAGUGACGCUGGGCACGCUGAUCUCAAGAUCAAGAUUGAAAGUCCCAGUGGUCGGGUCAUCCCUCAUCGCCUAGCAACCUUUGGUAGUAGCCAGAAAGUGACAUAUACCCCCAGCGAGGCAGGCCUCCAUCGCAUCUACAUCAACUAUGGAGGAAUAGACAUCCCAGGAUGCCCAUUGAACCAGAAUGUUACAGAUGCCAGUAUGAUCACAGCAUCAGGUGAUGGUCUCUACAGAGGAGAGGAGGACAAGCCUGCAACAUUCUUUGUCAACACACAUGGCUCUAGAGGUUCCCUUUCUGUAUCUGUUGAUGGACCCAACUCUAUAGCAAAGUGCAACAUUGGGCAGGAGCGUGACCGCUACGUGGUCACAUAUGUUCCAGUUGAGGUUGGGCUGUUUGAUGCAACAAUCAAGUGGAAUGACAGAGAAAUACCAGGAAGUCCAUUCCACCCAAAGGUAUUUGAUGCACGCAAGGUCCAUGUGACUGGAGGCUGGCAGAGUCUGCUUGAUGCCAACAACAGGAUAGCGCUGAAGGUUGGGGAAGAGAAACAUAUCAGCUUUGAUACCCAAGAGGCUGGACCAGGGAAGCUGACUGCUGAGGUAAAUGGACCAGAUGGAGGAGUUCCUUGCUCAGUCACUGACAGACCAGAUGGAAGAGUUUCUGUCAGCUUUAUUCCUAGAAUUCAGGGAGAGCAUUAUGUGAAGGUUAUGUGGGCAGACAUCCCACUUCCAAAAUCACCACUUCAGGGCUAUGCCCAACCUGCCAGCUCACCAGUGGACCACACCAAGGUUAUCCUGACAGGGAGGGGCCUGAAGGAGGCUAGUGUUUCAGAAGAGGCAGAGUUUAUCAUUGAUGGAUCCCAGGCUGGACCAGGCAAGCCCAUAGUUACACUUGAAGGAACAAGUAGCAACCCACCUGUGAAUGUGCAGUCACUGGGUGCAGGCAGGUACAGAUGUACUUACAGAGCAGACAACCCAGGUGCUUACCUCCUGAACAUCAAGUGGUCUGAGCACAGAGUACAUGGCUCCCCAUUCAAGGUGAGUGUGAAUUCACUGAGUGAUGCCACUAAGGUCCUUGCAUCAGGUGAUGGCUUGAAAAUGGGAAUUAUGGGGCAACAGAUCCGAUCACAGAUUGACACAAGACGUGCUGGACCUGGUCAACUGACUGCCCACUGUACCGGACCCACCAAGGUGGCCUACUGUGAACUGUAUGACCACAGGGAUGGUUUAUUCACCCUGAAUGUAAAGCCUCAGGAAGCUGGCAAACACACACUACAAGUCAAAUAUGAUGAUGUUCACAUUCCAGGGAGCCCUUAUACUCUGCGCAUCUCAGGAGCGCCUGAUGCCUCCAAGGUGAGGGUAACAGGACCUGGAAUCGAGCAUGGAAUUCUGGCCAAAUAUCAGAGCAGAUUUAUUGUAGAGACAAGAGGCGCUGGAGCAGGACAAUUGACUGUUAGAAUCAGGGGACCAAAAGGGGCCUUCCAUGUAGAGAUGCAGAGAGAGAGCCAGAAAGAUCGCACAAUCUUGUGUCAUUAUGACCCUGCUGAGAUUGGUGAUUAUGUGGUCAGUAUCAAGUGGUCGGGUGUGCAUGUUCCCGGAAGCCCAUUUAAUGUGAACAUCUUUGAUACAGAAGAAGAACUACAGAGAUUUUAUGAAGAAACUGGCGCUAGACGUUCAGCUGUACAACAUCGUGCAUGGAAUGCUGAGAUGUAACUGUAAUGGAACAUUUAAAGAAUCACAUUGACACUGAUUGGCUUGGUUUAUAGAGAAUGUUCUGCUCAAGCUAUACAGAUAGCCAGAUGACAAAAUGCCUGACACUAAAAUGGCCCAUAUUGAAAGGGUAACGAGUGAACUGAUAUUAUUUGCUACAGUAUUCUCUCUAAUGAAUGUUCAUCUCCCAAAUUUUUGCAAAGGAGAUAGUGACACUCAAGCUUAUCUAAAUCCUUUCUAUCAUUGAAUGGUGUUAAAAGUUGAUUACUGUUUUUACAUAAAAAUAGGCCAAAGAAGAAAAAUGGUGGAAGAUUCUUUUGAAUGAAAAUAUCCAACAAUGCAAGCGCAAGUGUCAAACGGUGACAAGAUUGUUGAAGCUAAAGAGGCAAAUCUACACAUGUGUCCAAUAGCUCAGUUGACUGAAUUUAAAUACUUCAUAUAAAUAGCUGAAGAAUUGAAAUUUUCUUUCUUGAUAUUUUAGCACUGAAGUUGCUAAGGUCCUUCAUGGAUAUAGUUUGCAUUUGUUUGGGUAUGUACAUCUAUAAGAGAGAAUAUUUUAAUUUGAAAAGAUAUUUAUCUUAUAGUUCAAGGAUAUUAUUAAAGUUAGAUCUGUUUUAUAUGUGCCUCAUGUUUGUUGGCCAAAAGGAGAAAUGUUCCUCCUUUUGGUCCUGACUUAAACAAGAACAAAAAUAAAUAUACAAAUGUAUCACUUUUACAAGUAUACAAUCAAGAAUAUAUAAUUAGCAAUAGAUAUAUCAAGCAAUAUGAUUUUUAUUAUCUUGUAUCAUUGUUAUUCUAGUACAAAUUCACAUGUACAAGUUUGUAUAGCAUUAUUACACAUAUUUUAUCUUAUAUGAUAUAAGGAUACAUGCCAUAUCUAUAUUUAGAGGUUAUGUCACUAUGACGUGAAAUAUGCCUGAGUUCUCCCAAUAUAGGCCGACCUUGGGAGG
rnacentral:misc_RNA from 1 species